AGGAAGAGAAAGCAAAAGCGAUUGCCUUAGUAGCGGCGAGCGAAACGGCAAGAGGGCAAACCGAAGAGUUUACUCUUCGGGGUUGUAGGACUGCAACGUGGACUUAAAGAUUAUAGAAGAACUACCUGGGAAGGUAGGCCAAAGAGAGUAAUAGCCUCGUAUUCGAAAUAGUCUUUAUACCUAGCAGUAUCCUGAGUACGGCGAGACACGAGAAAUCUCGUCGGAAUCUGGGAGGACCAUCUCCCAACCCUAAAUACUCUCUAGUGACCGAUAGUGAACCAGUACCGUGAGGGAAAGGUGAAAAGCACCCCGGGAGGGGAGUGAAAUAGAACCUGAAACCGUGUGCCUACAACAAGUUCGAGCCCGUUAAUGGGUGAGAGCGUGCCUUUUGUAGAAUGAACCGGCGAGUUACGAUAUGAUGCGAGGUUAAGUUGAAGAGACGGAGCCGUAGGGAAACCGAGUCUUAAUAGGGCGCAUUAGUAUCAUGUCGUAGACCCGAAACCAUGUGACCUACCCAUGAGCAGGUUGAAGGUGAGGUAAAACUCACUGGAGGACCGAACCAGGGCACGUUGAAAAGUGCUUGGAUGACUUGUGGGUAGCGGAGAAAUUCCAAACGAACUUGGAGAUAGCUGGUUCUCUCCGAAAUAGCUUUAGGGCUAGCGUCGAUGUUAAGUCUCUUGGAGGUAGAGCACUGUUUGGGUGAGGGGUCCAUCCCGGAUUACCAAUCUCAGAUAAACUCCGAAUGCCAAUGAGAUAUAAUCGGCAGUCAGACUGCGAGUGCUAAGAUCCGUAGUCGAAAGGGAAACAGCCCAGACCACCAGCUAAGGUCCCAAAAUAUAUGUUAAGUGGAAAAGGAUGUGGGGUUGCACAGACAACUAGGAUGUUAGCUUAGAAGCAGCUAUUCAUUCAAAGAGUGCGUAAUAGCUCACUAGUCGAGUGACCCUGCGCCGAAAAUGUACCGGGGCUAAAACAUAUUACCGAAGCUGUGGAUACCUUUAUAGGUAUGGUAGGAGAGCGUUCUAUGUGCGAAGAAGGUGUACCGUGAGGAGUGCUGGAGCGCAUAGAAGUGAGAAUGCCGGUAUGAGUAGCGAAAGACAGGUGAGAAUCCUGUCCACCGUAAGACUAAGGUUUCCAGGGGAAGGCUCGUCCGCCCUGGGUUAGUCGGGACCUAAGGAGAGACCGAAAGGUGUAUCCGAUGGACAACAGGUUGAUAUUCCUGUACUAGAGUAUAUAGUGAUGGAGGGACGCAGUAGGCUAACUAAACCAGACGAUUGGAAGUGUCUGGCCAAGCAGUGAGGUGUGAUAUGAGUCAAAUGCUUAUAUCUAUAACAUUGAGCUGUGAUGGGGAGCGAAGUUUAGUAGCGAAGUUAGUGAUGUCACACUGCCGAGAAAAGCUUCUAGCGUUAAUUAUACUCUACCCGUACCGCAAACCGACACAGGUAGUCGAGGCGAGUAGCCUCAGGUGAGCGAGAGAACUCUCGUUAAGGAACUCGGCAAAAUGGCCCCGUAACUUCGGGAGAAGGGGCGCUGACUGAUGGUCAGCCGCAGUGAAUAGGCCCAAGCAACUGUUUAUCAAAAACACAGCUCUCUGCUAAAUCGUAAGAUGAUGUAUAGGGGGUGACGCCUGCCCGGUGCUGGAAGGUUAAGAGGAGUGCUUAGCGUAAGCGAAGGUAUGAAUUGAAGCCCCAGUAAACGGCGGCCGUAACUAUAACGGUCCUAAGGUAGCGAAAUUCCUUGUCGGGUAAGUUCCGACCCGCACGAAAGGCGUAAUGAUUUGGGCACUGUCUCAACGAGAGACUCGGUGAAAUUUUAGUACCUGUGAAGAUGCAGGUUACCCGCGACAGGACGGAAAGACCCCAUGGAGCUUUACUGCAGUUUGAUAUUGAGUAUCUGUACCACAUGUACAGGAUAGGUAGGAGCCUAUGACCUCGGGACGCCAGUUUCGAGUGAGGCGUUGUUGGGAUACUACCCUUGUGUUAUGGCUACUCUAACCCAGAUAGGUUAUCCCUAUCGGAGACAGUGUCUGACGGGCAGUUUGACUGGGGCGGUCGCCUCCUAAAAGGUAACGGAGGCGCCCAAAGGUUCCCUCAGAAUGGUUGGAAAUCAUUCGCAGAGUGUAAAGGUAUAAGGGAGCUUGACUGCGAGAG
rnacentral:rRNA from 1 species